GGCCAAUGAUGUACUCAUUUUUACGUAUUAUCAGAUGUGUGUGUGAUGAUAUCUUAAUUGUCACUACCUCUGAGGCC